CCUACGGGUGGCAGCAGUGAGGAAUAUUGGUCAAUGGCUGAGAGGCUGAACCAGCCAAGUCGCGUGAGGGAAGACGGCCCUACGGGUUGUAAACCUCUUUUGUCGGGGAGCAAAGCGAACCACGUCUGGUUCAUUGAGCGUACCCGAAGAAAAAGCAUCGGCUAACUCCGUGCCAGCAGCCGCGGUAAUACGGAGGAUUCGAGCGUUGUCCGGAUUUAUUGGGUUAAAAGGGUGCGCAGGCGGAAGAUCACGUCAGAGGUAAAAUUGAGGGGCGCAACCUCUUCGAGCCGUUGAAACUGGUGUUCUUGUGUGAGUGAGAAGUAUGUGGAAUGCGUGGUGUAGCGGUGAAAUGCAUAGAUAUCACGCAGAACUCCGAUUGCGAAGGCAGCAUACCGGCGCUCAACUGACGCUCAUGCACGAAAGUGUGGGUAUCGAACAGGAUUAGAUACCCGGGUAGUC
rnacentral:rRNA from 1 species